rnacentral:rRNA from 1 species
AUUGAACGCUGGCGGCAGGCCUAACACAUGCAAGUCGAGCGGCAGCGGAAGGAAGCUUGCUUCCUUGCCGGCGAGCGGCGGACGGGUGAGUAAUGUCUGGGGAUCUGCCUGAUGGAGGGGGAUAACUACUGGAAACGGUAGCUAAUACCGCAUAACGUCGCAAGACCAAAGAGGGGGACCUUCGGGCCUCAUGCCAUCAGAUGUGCCCAGAUGGGAUUAGCUAGUAGGUGGGGUAAUGGCUCACCUAGGCGACGAUCCCUAGCUGGUCUGAGUGGAUGACCAGCCACACUGGAACUGAGACACGGUCCAGACUCCUACGGGAGGCAGCAGUGGGGAAUAUUGCACAAUGGGCGCAAGCCUGAUGCAGCCAUGCCGCGUGUGUGAAGAAGGCCUUCGGGUUGUAAAGCACUUUCAGCGAGGAGGAAGGCGUUGUAGUUAAUAACUGCAGCGAUUGACGUUACUCGCAGAAGAAGCACCGGCUAACUCCGUGCCAGCCGCCGCGGUA